UACGUAGGGCGCAAGCGUUGUCCGGAAUUAUUGGGCGUAAAGAGCUCGUAGGCGGCCCGUUGCGUCUGCUGUGAAAUCCCGGGGCUCAACCCCGGGCGUGCAGUGGAUACGGGCUGGCUAGAGGCAGGCAGGGGAGAACGGAAUUCCCGGUGUAGCGGUGAAAUGCGCAGAUAUCGGGAGGAACACCGGUGGCGAAGGCGGUUCUCUGGGCCUGUACUGACGCUGAGGAGCGAAAGCGUGGGGAGCGAACAGG
rnacentral:rRNA from 1 species